rnacentral:rRNA from 1 species
UACGUAGGUGACCAGCGUUGUCCGGAUUUACUGGGCGUAAAGAGCGCGCAGGCGGUCGUUCAAGUCGAGUGUGAAAGCCCCCGGCUCAACUGGGGAGGGUCACUCGAUACUGAUCGACUUGAAGGCAGGAGAGGGAAGCGGAAUUCCCGGUGUAGUGGUGAAAUGCGUAGAUAUCGGGAGGAACACCAGUGGCGAAGGCGGCUUCCUGGCCUGUUCUUGACGCUGAGGCACGAAGGCCAGGGGAGCAAACGGG